rnacentral:lncRNA from 1 species
GGGGGUGUAUAUCUUUGUCGGUGGAUGGUUUGUGACGACGGGUGAAGUUGCCGGCGGUGGGAACUCAUUGUUGACGAUGAGCUGGAAUCAUUGGAUGAACUCAUUGUUGACGAUGAGUCGGUGAUGGCGCGACGUCCUCCAAGCGGCAGAUUUGGGGAUUUUUCCUUUUUUGUUUUUUUUUUUAAAUUUAUACUCACUCAAAACGACGUCAUUUUUAAUACCGGUGAGUCCACGUCUGAAAAUUCCGGGAGCCACAUCAACACCGAUCAAGGUGGUGGUCAACGCGUGUGCAAUUUACAAUCAAAUUAAAAGGUGAUGUAUUCUGAAGCUAAUUUUAAAGGUGA